AGUAGAGCAGGUGUUUAAAUUAGCUAAUCUACCACCGCUGUGGUCAGAUGAUCAGUUAGUAAUAAUCACAAAAUAAAUUUAAAAAAAAACACGUAAAACCUGAAAACAUGCUUCCGGAGCGGAUUGACUGUCCUGCUCUUCUUUGUGUGGGGAAAUGUUUGCGUUUCUUUCGGUGUCGAAUCCUGAUACACCAGUGGAGCUGUUGUCAGUCGGUUGCUAUGGUAACGGUUCUGCACGUAGCGCAGCCGACGCAAAGAGAGAGAAAAAUCUUGUAUGUGUCCGUGAUGCGAAGCUCGAUCACUGGAAGACAGGCCAAACGAUCUGAGGAGAUUGGACACGUAGAUGCCGACACCUCGGCUCAAACACUCUGGAGUCACUGGAGAGCCGGGAGGAAGACAGACGGCCGGGCGAUCUGAAGUGAGAUGGAUGGAUGCUCUUGAAGGAAUCUCCCUGAACACGGCUGCAGAGAUUUCACAUAAUUUGCUACGUGUCUCUGGAAGCAAGAUGUAAAAAUCAUGUUUUAUUGCCGUCCUUGUGGUCCCUCCUGACCCGAACUGAACGAAACGGACCUGAGAGUGGCCAACCACCCAAUGCCAAACACAAUCUCCAUUUAACAAGACCUGCCUGACAACAGGUCCAACGCACAGUCGGCUACGACAGCUUGCGACUCAUACGGCUUAAAUUUAAUUAGCAACAUGGUCAUUAAAAUGUGUUAAUUGCAUGCAUUGUGGUAAUUCUGUGUCAAAGUCAGCAAAGGACGAGGCUUGAUGGGAACUGUGGUUUAGUGGCUCCAGUAAUGCAGUGUGACCCGCUGUAAUUUCAAUAUGAUAAUUGGAAGGAGUCCCUCUUCCCCCUUCAUGCUCAAAGGCUAAAACUUCCCCAUGAGGAAGAAAUAUACUGUAGCUCCCCCUGUUGGAGGGAACUCAGCUGGGCUUCAAGCUUUGUAGGUACUUCUACAAAAAUAUCAACAUUUUAAAUCCACUUUAUUAGGGAUUUAAGUGUUGCACUUAAUUACAGCGCUGUGUGGAAUGGAUCAGAGAAUAAAAAUGUGCA